UACGGAGGGGGCUAGCGUUGCUCGGAAUCACUGGGCGUAAAGCGCACGUAGGCGGAUCUUUAAGUCAGGGGUGAAAUCCCAAGGCUCAACCUUGGAACUGCCUUUGAUACUGGGGAUCUCGAGUCCGGAAGAGGUUGGUGGAACUGCGAGUGUAGAGGUGAAAUUCGUAGAUAUUCGCAAGAACACCAGUGGCGAAGGCGGCCAACUGGUCCGGUACUGACGCUGAGGUGCGAAAGCGUGGGGAGCAAACAGG
rnacentral:rRNA from 1 species